rnacentral:tRNA from 1 species
UCCCCGGUAGCUCAGUCGGUAGAGCAGGUGGCUGUUAACCACCUUGUCGCUGGUUCGAAUCCGGCCCGGGGAGCCA